UUUUCCAGAAUCAGCCCUCUUCCAUGCCUCUACACCGAUUGCAUUUGCACGUUUCAGACACUUAAUUCACUGAGUACUCAUUUAUCAAGAUAUCAUACAGCACAACCUAGCAGUUGUACAGAGCAGAGUCAGGGGCCUGUGUUAUUCAAAUGCCCCUUAUGCACAUUUCAGCAACCCUUUUCUAAUUCAGCCGUUUUCAGUCAUCUCAGAAAGCAUUUGAAAAAUCAUGAAACGGUGACAUGCCCAUAUAAGGAUUGUAGCUAUAUCACAAAUGUGUACUCCUCGUUCAAUUCUCAUAAAAGUAGAGAACACCAAGCAGGUCUUGCAUCUGACUUUCAAACUGAUAUUGUCAGUGAGGAUCCCCAUAUACUUCAAGCCAGUAUUUCUGAGGAAACUAGUGAUUCGCAUGAAGAAUGCCCAGACCAGAGCAGAGAAGUGGGGAACGGUGAUCAGUGUGACACUGGCAGUCUAAGAAAUCAACUUAAAACAAAUUUACAAAUUUAGCUUCUUUAUUUCUAAAGAUGCAGGCUAUCCUUCAUGUCUCGAACACAGCUAUUCAGGAAAUAGUAGACCACUUGAAUCAGAUCUUCUGAGGUAAUAUGGAUCAUCUCUCUUUAAGUGAAAAUUGUGAUUCUUAUUCAUUUGACCGCUAUUGUCGGCUUAAUAAAUGUGCUAGAUUCUUCAAAUUGAAUGUUUUUUUAUUUGUUGCUGUUAUUUCAAUGUAGUUGUAUGCAGAGUUCCAGAGGAUAACCAAUCAGAACCUGCCCAACCGAUUCUAUGCUGAGCUUGACCGCCAUCUUCCACGACUAAUGACUUUAUUUAGGCAGAAGGCAUCAAGAACUGGAAAGACAGCAGAUGCUCUGGCUGAAAUUUUAAAAAUCCACGAUGAACAGGAAAACCAGGACAUACACACCAAACGUACGACUGUUCUCCACGGCCUUCCUGUCUAUCUGCGAGGAUGUAUCUGGAUUCUUCAGAACCUGCACAGAUGAGUCUGAUGAGCCAGAGCUCGAUGGUGUUGCAGUGGGCCUCCUGACCGUCAUCAGUGACC